AGGUAUUCAAGGCGAUCUCCUGGUUGUGAUUGAGUACAGCUGGAAAGCUUUGGCUUGAAGGUCUAGCCAGGGAUGAGUCCCUUCAGAGAUCAGUGCUAACCCGGUGGCUGAGGCUUGGGGCCUGCUAUCUGAGAAAUGCCUUUGAGGGUGCUGCGAAUCCUAGGGUACAGUUCAUGAGAGCACCGGCUGCCUCUGGCAAGUGAAGAGGACUCCCAGACUACAAAGGAUUUUGCUGACACAAAGGAAAUCUUCAUGGUGAUCUUGUACUUGGAAAUCGUGGAUUAUUGGACACAACACCUACCACUCAGCUCUUUUCAUUUAAAAACAAGUACUUAUAUCCAAAAGAUAUAAAACCCAAUAAAAUGCUUUUA